rnacentral:rRNA from 1 species
ACGCUGGCGGCGUGCCUAAUACAUGCAAGUCGAACGAGAGCGACCGGUGCUUGCACUGGUCAAUCUAGUGGCGAACGGGUGAGUAACACGUGGGUAACCUGCCCAUCAGAGGGGGAUAACAUUCGGAAACGGAUGCUAAAACCGCAUAGGUCUUCGAACCGCAUGGUUUGAAGAGGAAAAGAGGCGCAAGCUUCUGCUGAUGGAUGGACCCGCGGUGCAUUAGCUAGUUGGUGAGGUAACGGCUCACCAAGGCCGUGAUGCAUAGCCGACCUGAGAGGGUGAUCGGCCACAUUGGGACUGAGACACGGCCCAAACUCCUACGGGAGGCAGCAGUAGGGAAUCUUCCGCAAUGGACGCAAGUCUGACGGAGCAACGCCGCGUGAGUGAAGAAGGUUUUCGGAUCGUAAAACUCUGUUGUUAGAGAAGAACAAGUGCUAGAGUAACUGUUAGCGCCUUGACGGUAUCUAACCAGAAAGCCACGGCUAACUACGUGCCAGCAGCCGCGGUAAUACGUAGGUGGCAAGCGUUGUCCGGAUUUAUUGGGCGUAAAGCGAGCGCAGGCGGUUCCUUAAGUCUGAUGUGAAAGCCCCCGGCUCAACCGGGGAGGGUCAUUGGAAACUGGGGAGCUUGAGUGCAGAAGAGGAGAGUGGAAUUCCAUGUGUAGCGGUGAAAUGCGUAGAUAUAUGGAGGAACACCAGUGGCGAAGGCGACUCUCUGGUCUGUAACUGACGCUGAGGCUCGAAAGCAUGGGUAGCAAACAGGAUUAGAUACCCUGGUAGUCCACGCCGUAAACGAUGAGUGCUAAGUGUUGGAGGGUUUCCGCCCUUCAGUGCUGCAGUUAACGCAUUAAGCACUCCGCCUGGGGAGUACGACCGCAAGGUUGAAACUCAAAGGAAUUGACGGGGACCCG